GACGAACGCUGGCGGCGUGCUUAACACAUGCAAGUCGAGCGGGAAACUUCGGUUUCCAGCGGCGGACGGGUGAGUAACACGUGGGCAACCUGCCUCACAAUGAGGGAUAGCCCCCCGAAAGGAGGAUUAAUACCUCAUAACACAAGAGAAACGCAUGUUUCUCUUGCCAAAGAGUUUCGUUGUGAGAUGGGCCCGCGGCGCAUUAGCUUGUUGGUGAGGUAACGGCUCACCAAGGCUUCGAUGCGUAGCCGACCUGAGAGUGUGAUCGGCCACAUUGGAACUGAGACACGGUCCAGACUCCUACGGGAGGCAGCAGUGGGGAAUAGUGCACAAUGGAGGAAACUCUGAUGCAGCAACGCCGCGUGAGUGAUGAAGGUCUUCGGAUUGUAAAGCUCUGUCUUCUGGGACGAUAAUGACGGUACCAGAGGAGGAAGCCACGGCUAACUACGUGCCAGCCGCCGCGGUAACAC
rnacentral:rRNA from 1 species